rnacentral:rRNA from 1 species
UCCGUAGGGGUGAACCUGCGGAAGGAUCAUUACCGAGUGAGGGCCCUCUGGGUCCAACCUCCCACCCGUGUUUAUUUUACCUUGUUGCUUCGGCGGGCCCGCCUUAACUGGCCGCCGGGGGGCUUACGCCCCCGGGCCCGCGCCCGCCGAAGACACCCUCGAACUCUGUCUGAAGAUUGUAGUCUGAGUGAAAAUAUAAAUUAUUUAAAACUUUCAACAACGGAUCUCUUGGUUCCGGCAUCGAUGAAGAACGCAGCGAAAUGCGAUACGUAAUGUGAAUUGCAAAUUCAGUGAAUCAUCGAGUCUUUGAACGCACAUUGCGCCCCCUGGUAUUCCGGGGGGCAUGCCUGUCCGAGCGUCAUUGCUGCCCUCAAGCACGGCUUGUGUGUUGGGCCCCGUCCUCCGAUCCCGGGGGACGGGCCCGAAAGGCAGCGGCGGCACCGCGUCCGGUCCUCGAGCGUAUGGGGCUUUGUCACCCGCUCUGUAGGCCCGGCCGGCGCUUGCCGAUCAACCCAAAUUUUUAUCCAGGUGACCUCGGAUCAGGUAGGGAUACCCGCUGAACUUAAGCAUAUCAAUAAGCGGAGG